rnacentral:lncRNA from 1 species
AUGAUGAUGCAGUGGUGAUCGCGAACUUCCGCGCCGAUCGCGUCGUCGAGAUUUCUAAGGCUUUUGAGUAUCCCGACUUUAAGGAUUUCGAUCGAGUCCGAUUUCCGAAGGUCAAGUUCGCAGGGCUUAUGCAGUACGACGGGGACCUCAAGCUCCCUGCCAACUACCUUGUUCCUCCUCCCCUCAUCGAGCGCACUUCCGGUGAAGUCCUUGCAGCAAAUGGACUCAAGACCUUUGCAUGCAGUGAGACUCAGAAAUUUGGCCAUGUGACCUUCUUCUGGAAUGGCAACCGCUCUGGAUAUUUCAACGAAAAUC